CACGUAGGGGGCGAGCGUUGUCCGGAAUCAUUGGGCGUAAAGAGCUCGUAGGCGGCUCGGUAAGUCGGGUGUGAAACCCCCAGGCUCAACCUGGGGACGCCACCCGAUACUGCUGUGGCUAGAGUCCAGUAGGGGAGUGUGGAAUUCCCGGUGUAGCGGUGAAAUGCGCAGAUAUCGGGAGGAACACCAGCGGCGAAGGCGGCACUCUGGGCUGGAACUGACGCUGAGGAGCGAAAGCGUGGGGAGCAAACAGGG
rnacentral:rRNA from 1 species